rnacentral:ncRNA from 1 species
UAACACGCGAUGAAGAGAAGAGUACAUACAUCCCUUUCCUCACAGAAAGCCUGUAGUUGCUGAGAACGGGUAGGAGAGCUGUAUGGAAGCAAGACUCUGAGCGGCACAUCGGAACAACCCUACGCCGGCCGGCAAGCAUUUAAUCCAAAGGUUGGGAUGGUGUGACAGGAGCUCCUGUUAUUGAGCAAUGUAUAGGCUCACUAUACACAUGAGGUUCAUAUCGUGAUAUAUGGACGAACUGGGGUGGCACCACGACAAGUGAUCGUCCCCAAG